rnacentral:rRNA from 1 species
CCUACGGGUGGCAGCAGUCGAGAAUCAUUCACAAUGGGGGAAACCCUGGUGGUGCGACGCCGCGUGGGGGAAUGAAGUUCUUCGGAUUGUAAACCCCUGUCAUGUGGGAGCAAAUUAAAAAGAUAGUACCACAAGAGGAAGAGACGGCUAACUCUGUGCCAGCAGCCGCGGUAAUACAGAGGUCUCAAGCGUUGUUCGGAAUCACUGGGCGUAAAGCGUGCGUAGGCUGUUUCGUAAGUCGUGUGUGAAAGGCGCGGGCUCAACCCGCGGACGGCACAUGAUACUGCGAGACUAGAGUAAUGGAGGGGGAACCGGAAUUCUCGGUGUAGCAGUGAAAUGCGUAGAUAUCGAGAGGAACACUCGUGGCGAAGGCGGGUUCCUGGACAUUAACUGACGCUGGGGCACGAAGGCCAGGGGAGCGAAAGGGAUUAGAUACCCUAGUAGU